rnacentral:lncRNA from 1 species
GAAGUGUGGAUAGGUAUCAAUUAAUUAUUAAUUCAAAAAAACUCAGAAAUUGUCCUUGAUUUCAAUGAAUAUCUAAUUGAAUGGAGAGACAGACAUGUUACCAGAGUCAUUAUACUGGACUAUAUCAAUCAUUCAUUUAUUCGACAAAUAUUUAUUUUGCUCCUACUCUAUCCUAGGCACUGUGCUAGACUCAGGCAAUACAAGGAUGGACAAGAAAGAAAGCAUCCCUGCCUUCAUGAAACUCACAGUCUGAAGUCAAUAAACAAACAGCUGUUGCCACUUUACAGAAAGAAAAGUGUGGCUCAGACCAUAAUUUCAGGAAGAAGCAUGCAAUUUUUGGUAAUUCAAUGAAAUAUAAAGAUGAAUCAGAAGUCCGGUAUAGAAUGCAUCAUCCAUUGGUUCUGGAUUUAACAUACGAAAUCCGUAAAAGAACUGAAAUGUUCUGAAGCUUGAAUCUCUCUCAUGCAGUUAUUCUGUUGGAUGAAGUGGCAUUUCAAAUUUGCUCACUCAGAUUUGGGACAUUAGUCUCAUUCUGAAGCACACCAAUGCUUCCAGAACUACCAGCAUGCUGUAAUGAAAGGUACCGCCACGAGACUUGAAGAAGUAUCUGACUUUGUCCCAAAAUCUAUCUGAAUAAGAACAACGGACAAACAAAAAGAUAAGGAGAAGAAAGAGGAAACAAAAGCUAAAAGGUUCACCUUAACUUUCCCGGCAUUUUCGUCAUCUUCUUUUUUGUCUUCAAAUUCAAAGGCAACAGUCAUGCGUUGUUGUCUCUGCUCUUCCCACAGUGUAGGGUUAAAGCUGUCACUGUCUGACUGGAAAUCUACAGUUAGAUUCCAAAGUAUUAUUGCUUUUUUAAAAAACAAUUUUACACAAAGUAUUUAAUACAGUAUGCAAAAAUGGUGAUAGAUACUACAAACAAAUACAGAAAUAAAGAAGAAAGAAAUAAAGAAAAAAAGAAAGAAGGAAAGAGAAAAGAAUAAAAUUCCCUUGAUAUUUAUUACAUGGUCUUUUGUAAUCUUAACUCAAAU